rnacentral:rRNA from 1 species
UUNUUGACCGUGCGAAGGUAGGAUAAUCAUUGCCUCUUAAAUAGAGGCUGGUAUGAAUGGCAAGACGGAGUCUGACUGUCUCUUUUCUGGUGUAUUUGAAUUUAAUUUCUUUGUGAAGAAGCAGAGAUGUAAUCGUAGGACGAGAAGACCCUGUCGAGCUUAAGCAAGUAAAUACAGGCACGGUAACGGUUUUUUUGCUAAUGUGCCUUUAUUAAGGAAGCGUUUUUACUUAAGGAGUGGGUGUGUCGUGUGUUUUAUGUUUUGAUUGGGGCAAUCGCGGAGAAAAGAUAUCCUCCGNUAUAAAUUGAUAAUGCUGUGAAGAGACUUC